UGGGAUAGCUCACUCGGUAGAGCACAAGACUCUGAAUCUUAGGCCCAUGGGUUCGAGCCUCACGCUGGGCAAAA